rnacentral:rRNA from 1 species
UACGUAGGGUGCAAGCGUUAAUCGGAAUUACUGGGCGUAAAGCGUGCGCAGGCGGUUGUGCAAGACAGAUGUGAAAUCCCCGGGCUCAACCUGGGAACUGCAUUUGUGACUGCACGGCUAGAGUGUGUCAGAGGGGGGUAGAAUUCCACGUGUAGCAGUGAAAUGCGUAGAGAUGUGGAGGAAUACCGAUGGCGAAGGCAGCCCCCUGGGAUGACACUGACGCUCAUGCGCGAAAGCGUGGGGAGCAAACAGG